GAAUAACUCAGUUGGUAGAGCAUGAGACUCUUAAUAUCAGGGUCAUGGGUUUGAGCCCCACGUUGGGCA
rnacentral:tRNA from 1 species